UUUCGGCAACUUUGGCAGGCUCCAUGCCUACGAGGCCGCAAGCUCGCGCAGCUAUACCCGCGCAACCAUGCGAGAUGGCAAUGAUUCCAAUGGAAUCCGGACCAGGCUUCAUCCCAGGCAUUUGGCCUCGUGCC
rnacentral:pre_miRNA from 1 species